rnacentral:rRNA from 1 species
GACGAACGCUGGCGGCGUGCCUAAUACAUGCAAGUCGAGCGAAUUUACGAGAGCUUGCUCUCGUAAAUUAGCGGCGGACGGGUGAGUAACACGUGGGCAACCUGCCUAUAAGACUGGGAUAACUUCGGGAAACCGGAGCUAAUACCGGAUAAUUCACAUCUACUCAUGUAGAUGUGCUGAAGGACGGUUUACGCUGUCACUUAUAGAUGGGCCCGCGGCGCAUUAGCUAGUUGGUGAGGUAACGGCUCACCAAGGCCACGAUGCGUAGCCGACCUGAGAGGGUGAUCGGCCACACUGGGACUGAGACACGGCCCAGACUCCUACGGGAGGCAGCAGUAGGGAAUCUUCCGCAAUGGACGAAAGUCUGACGGAGCAACGCCGCGUGAGUGAUGAAGGUUUCGGAUCGUAAACUCUGUUGUUAGGGAAGACAAGUACCGGAGUAACUGCCGGUACUGACGGUACCUAACCAGAAGCCACGGCUAACUACGUGCCAGCCGCC